CACCCGGCCGCCCGCAUGGCUAGUUUAUACCCAGAAAUAAUUACACGGAAACUGUAUUCUUUCAAACACUGCCUGGCCCGGCUAGGUCCAGUUUCUUAUUGGCUAGCUCUUACAUAUUGUUCUAACCCAUUUCUAAUAUUCUGUGUAGCCCAAGAGCUGGCUUACCAGAGAGGAUCUUAACCUGCGUCUGUCUGGAGUGGGAGCAUCAUGGAGACUACUCAAAAAAGCUUCCUUUUCCCAGAAUUCUCUUCUGUCUAUUCCGCCUACCUAAUUUUCUGUCCUAUGAGGGCCGAGGCAGUUUCUUUAUUAUUACAAGACCCACCUCCAUCAUUUCCCCUUUUUCUGUUUAAACAAAAAAAAGAAAGGCUUUAACUUUAACAUAGUAAAAUUAUAUAUCACAAAACAGUUAUCAAGUAAGAAUUACAGUUAUAAUAUAUAUAUAUAUUUUUAUCUCUUAUCAUAACUAAGGAAAACUAUAACUAACCAUUCUUCAACUCCAUCAAAGACUCCAGAAGGAUAUAAUAUUACCUAUCAAACAAGAAAUAAGAAAACUCUAGAAAUGACAGAGACAUCUCGCUGCCUGGACAGUCACCCAAAGUUCCUCUGUACCGAUGGGGCAUCCAUCUUCGGCCUUCAGGCCCAUGGUAUCCAGAGACAUUUCCAUGAAGCAGGAAAUUUCAAAGACAGUUCAGUCAUUUUCUGCUGUGUCCUGCAGAAUGUCUCGCAGACUCUUUUAUGAAUCAGGAACCCCAAAAGGUCAUCUCACCUUUAGGCAAGUUCAGUAGUCCUCUCUCUGCGGGUUCUCUGUGUCCAGUUUAUGUAAUAGUCCAGGCAAGAGCAGUUUCUUGCCCAAAUGGCUAUCAAACUCCAUAAGGAUCCUCUUCGGUGCCCAUCUUCCUCUUGAAGUAGAUUGGUGCUGCCAGGAGCAGACGUGUCUCAUUGUCAUGAAAAGCCCUAAGUUAUUAAAAUAUUUUAAAUGCCAUAUUCUGCAGUCUUUGAAAGAUAUGAAGAAUGCCUAUCUAAUUGAAAUAUAUCUCUAUAUAUCUAGAAAAUCUAACUAACAUGACUACAAGCUUUACUAUUAUCAAUGAUUAUCCAUUAGCAACCUAUAUUUCCUAUUUAUACAUUACAUUUUUAAAUGAACUACACAAUCACAAUACCUUAAUCAAGAUCAAAAAUCAUAUACAUAUAACAAAAUUGACCAUAAAAUCCAUACCAAUGCAAAUUAUUCAUAUCUAUAUCAUAUCCCCCUUUAAAUGUAAAAGAACAUUUAUAAACAAUAUUUGGGAACAUGGGCGUAGUUUUUUCUCUCCCAACUGCUUCCUGCUGAAUAGGGGCGCUGUUAAUCAGAUCAUUUAGGGUGUAACCUGUGUGCCAGUUUCAUCUCAGUUGGCAAUUGAGCGAAGCAAUUUUUUGAGGGUGUUCACAGCAACCUUUCAGGAGGGCGUGGUCUAUCAUACCAAAUCGGAAUAGAUGCAAUCCACAGGGUCUCAUCCUCUGCAAAAACAAAAGAAGACCCUCUCCAAAGCAUCAUAUCCUUAGACCCAAAUUUUGAAAUCGU